rnacentral:rRNA from 1 species
AUUGAACGCUGGCGGCAGGCUUAACACAUGCAAGUCGAGCGGAGAUGAGGUGCUUGCACCUUAUCUUAGCGGCGGACGGGUGAGUAAUGCUUAGGAAUCUGCCUAUUAGUGGGGGACAACAUUCCGAAAGGAAUGCUAAUACCGCAUACGUCCUACGGGAGAAAGCAGGGGAUCUUCGGACCUUGCGCUAAUAGAUGAGCCUAAGUCGGAUUAGCUAGUUGGUGGGGUAAAGGCCUACCAAGGCGACGAUCUGUAGCGGGUCUGAGAGGAUGAUCCGCCACACUGGGACUGAGACACGGCCCAGACUCCUACGGGAGGCAGCAGUGGGGAAUAUUGGACAAUGGGGGGAACCCUGAUCCAGCCAUGCCGCGUGUGUGAAGAAGGCCUUAUGGUUGUAAAGCACUUUAAGCGAGGAGGAGGCUACUGAGACUAAUGCUCUUGGAUAGUGGACGUUACUCGCAGAAUAAGCACCGGCUAACUCUGUGCCAGCAGCCGCGUAA